GAUGAACGCUGGCGGCGUGCCUAAUACAUGCAAGUCGAGGGAACAGACGAGGAGCUUGCUCCUCUGACGUUAGCGGCGGACGGGGGAGUAAGACGUGGAUAAACUACCUAUAAGACUGGGAUAGGUUCGGGAAACCGGAGGUAAAACCGGAUAAUAUAUUGAACCGAAUGGUUCAAUAGUAAAAGACGGUUUUGCUGUCACUGAUAGAUGGAUCCGCGCCGCAUUAGCUAGUUGGUAAGGUAACGGCUUACCAAGGCAACGAUGCGUAGCGGACCUGAGAGGGUGAUCGGCCACACCGGAACUGAGACACGGUCCAGACUACUCCGGGAGGCAGCAGUAGGGAAUCUUCCGCAAUGGGCGAAAGCCUGACGUAGCAACGCCGCGUGAGUGAUGAAGGUCUUCGGAUCGUAAAACUCUGUUAUUAGGGAAGAACAAAUGUGUAAGUAACUAUGCACGUCUUGCCGGUACCUAAUCAGAAAGCCACGGCUAACUACGUG
rnacentral:rRNA from 1 species